AAGUGAUUAACUUAAUCGGUAAAGUGCUUUUUUUACACGAAAGAAAUUAAUGGUUCAAGUCCAUUAUCACUUA
rnacentral:tRNA from 1 species